rnacentral:rRNA from 1 species
UUCCGGAGCUAACGCGUUAAGUCGACCGCCUGGGGAGUACGGCCGCAAGGUUAAAACUCAAAUGAAUUGACGGGGGCCCGCACAAGCGGUGGAGCAUGUGGUUUAAUUCGAUGCAACGCGAAGAACCUUACCUGGUCUUGACAUCCACGGAAGUUUUCAGAGAUGAGAAUGUGCCUUCGGGAACCGUGAGACAGGUGCUGCAUGGCUGUCGUCAGCUCGUGUUGUGAAAUGUUGGGUUAAGUCCCGCAACGAGCGCAACCCUUAUCCUUUGUUGCCAGCGGUCCGGCCGGGAACUCAAAGGAGACUGCCAGUGAUAAACUGGAGGAAGGUGGGGAUGACGUCAAGUCAUCAUGGCCCUUACGACCAGGGCUACACACGUGCUACAAUGGCGCAUACAAAGAGAAGCGACCUCGCGAGAGCAAGCGGACCUCAUAAAGUGCGUCGUAGUCCGGAUUGGAGUCUGCAACUCGACUCCAUGAAGUCGGAAUCGCUAGUAAUCGUGGAUCAGAAUGCCACGGUGAAUACGUUCCCGGGCCUUGUACACACCGCCCGUCACACCAUGGGAGUGGGUUGCAAAAGAAGUAGGUAGCUUAACCUUCGGGAGGGCGCUUACCACUUUGUGAUUCAUGACUGGGGUGAAGUCGUAACAAGGUAACCGUAGGGGAACCUGCGGUUGGAUCACCUCCUUA